rnacentral:rRNA from 1 species
UACGUAGGUGGCAAGCGUGGUCCGGAAUUAUUGGGCGUAAAGCGCGCGCAGGCGGUCCUUUAAGUCUGAUGUGAAAGCCCACGGCUCAACCGUGGAGGGUCAUUGGAAACUGGGGAACUUGAGUGCAGAAGAGAAAAGCGGAAUUACACGUGUAGCGGUGAAAUGCGUAGAGAUGUGGAGGAACACCAGUGGCGAAGGCGGCUUUUUGGUCUGUAACUGACGCUGAGGCGCGAAAGCGUGGGGAGCAAACAGG